rnacentral:rRNA from 1 species
GACGAACGCUGGCGGCGUGCUUAACACAUGCAAGUCGAACGGUGAAGCGCCUUCCUUUUUGGUGGGUGUGGAUGAGUGGCGAACGGGUGAGUAACACGUGAGUAACCUUCCCCCUUCUUCUGGAUAACCGCAUGAAAGUGUUGCUAAUACAGGAUAUUCUGGGUCUGUCGCAUGAUGGGUCUGGGAUAGAUAUUCUUUCGGUGAGGGAUGUGCUCGUGUCCUAUCAGCUUGUUGGUGGGGUGAUGGCCUACCAAGGCGGUGACGGGUAGCCGGCCUGAGAGGGUGGACGGUCACACGGGGACUGAGACACGGCACAGACUCCUACGGGAGGCAGAAGUGGGGAAUAUUGCACAAUGGGAGCAAGCCUGAUGCAGCGACGCCGCGUGAGGGAUGGAGGCCGUCGGGUUGUGAACCUCUUUCGCCAGUGAAGCAGGCCUGCCUCGUUUGUGGGUGGGUUGACGGUAGCUGGAUAAGAAGCGCCGGCUAACUACGUG